rnacentral:rRNA from 1 species
GAGUUUGAUCCUGGCUCAGGAUGAACGCUGGCGGCGUGCUUAACACAUGCAAGUCGAACGAAGCAUUGCUGAUGAAGUGUUCGGAUGGAAUGGGACAUGACUGAGUGGCGGACGGGUGAGUAACGCGUGGGCAACCUGCCGUAUACAGGGGGACAACAUUUGAAAACGACUGCUAAUACCGCAUAACCGCACGGUCUCGCAUGGGACAGUGUGAAAAACUCCGGUGGUAUACGAUGGGCCCGCGUCUGAUUACGUAGUUGGUGACGUAACGGCCCACCAACCCGACGAUCACUAGCCGACCUGACACGGUGACCGGCCACAUUGGGACUGACACACGGCCCAAACUCCUACGGGAGGCAACUAUGGGGAAUAUGGCACAAUGGGGGAAACCCUGAUGCACCUACGCCACGUGAGCGAAAAAGUAUGUCGGUAUGUAAAGCUCUAUCAUCAGGGAAGAAAAUGACGGUACCUGACUAAUAACCCCCGGCUAACUACCUGCCAGCAGCCGCGGUAAUACCUAGGGGGCAAGCGUUGUCCGGAUGUACUGCGUGUAAAGGGAGCGUANACGGAGGUGCAAGUCUGAUGUGAAAGGCAUGGGCUCAACUCCUGGACUGCAUAGGAAACUGUACUGCUANAGUGCCGAAUAGGUAACCCGAAUUCCUAGUGUANCGGUGAAAUGCGUAGAUAUAAGGAGGAACACCAGUGUCGAAGGCGGCUUACUGGACGGUAACUGACGUUGAGGCUCGAAAGCGUGGGGAGCAGACAGGAUUAGAUACUAUGGUAGUCCACGCGGUAAACGAUGAAUAAUAGAUGUUGGUCAGCAAACCUGAUCGGUGCCGGCGCAAACGCAUUAAGUAUUCCACAUGGGGAGUACGUUCGCAAGAAUGAAACUCUAAGGGAUUGACGGGGACCCGCACAAGCGGUGGAGCAUGUGGUUUAAUUCGAAGCGACGCGAAGAACCCUACCAAGUGUUGACAUCCCUAUGACCGGUGAGUAAUGUCACCUAUCUUUCGGGACAGAGGAGACAGGUGGUGCAUGGUUGUCGUCAGCUCGUGUCGUGAGAUGUUGGGUUAAGUCCCGCAACGAGCGCAACCCUUAUUCUUAGUAGCCAGCAGGUAAAGCUGGGCACUCUAGGGAGACUGCCAGGGAUAAGCUGGAGGAAGGUGGGGAUGACGUCAAAUCAUCAUGCCCCUUAUGACUUGGGCUACACACGUGCUACAAUGGCGUAAACAAAGGGAAGCGAGCAUGUGAGGGGGAGCAAAUCUCAAAAAUGACGUCCCAGUUCGGACUGUAGUCUGCAACCGGACUACACGAAGCUGGAAUCGUUAGUAAUGGCGAAUCAGCAUGUCGCGGUGAAUACGUUCCCGGGUCUUGUACACACCGCCCGUC